AUAUCUUUUGAAGUACUUGCUGUCUGUUGUUAGGAAAAGUGAAUAUCCAAGGAAGACUGCACCCAGCUUUUACCAAGUUACAAAUAAUUCAAAAGAAAGACCAGAUGUUUGGAUUGAAAGCCCUGAGAAGUCAAUCAUACUUUCCAUUACCAGUGAUAUACGAACUAUAAAAUCUGAGGUCUUUGCAGCACCAUAUAGCCUAAGAUUUCCACGCAUACAACGUGUUCGAUAUGACAAACCUUGGCAUGAAUGUCUUGAUGUUCAAUCUUUUGUAGAGCUUGUUCAUUCAAGUAAUGGUACCACACAAAGGGGCACAAAUAAUAGUGGCUGGCAAGAUAGUAAACGAAAGUACAUUAAUUCCACUGGAAAGGGAAGGAA